GGCGUCAGGACGAACGCUGGCGGCGUGCCUAAUACAUGCAAGUCGAACGGUCUUUCUAUGGAAGCUUGCUUCCACUGAGAAGAUAGUGGCGAACGGGUGAGUAACACGUGGGUAACCUGCCCAUAAGAGGGGGAUAACAUCCGGAAACGGGUGCUAAUACCGCAUAGUUUUCUUGAUCGCAUGAUCGGGAAAGGAAAGACGGCCUUUGUGCUGUCGCUUAUGGAUGGACCCGCGGCGUAUUAGUUAGCUGGUGAGGUAACGGCUCACCAAGACGAUGAUACGUAGCCGACCUGAGAGGGUGAUCGGCCACAUUGGGACUGAGACACGGCCCAAACUCCUACGGGAGGCAGCAGUAGGGAAUCUUCCGCAAUGGACGAAAGUCUGACGGAGCAACGCCGCGUGAGUGAAGAAAGGUUUUCGGAUCGUAAAACUCUGUUGUCAGAGAAGAACAAGUUGGAGAGUAACUGCUCCAGCCUUGACGGUAUCUGACCAGAAAGCCACGGCUAACUACGUGCCAGCCGCCGC
rnacentral:rRNA from 1 species